rnacentral:misc_RNA from 1 species
AGCAGAAUACAAUAUACUAUAAAAAAUUGAAAUCCAGGAUGGCGGCCGCUACAAAAUGGCGGAUAACGUAGGUUUUAUCGAUCCCAUCAAUAUGGGUAUCAAAUGAAAGUGCUCAACCAGUAUAAUCAAUGUACUAUAUAAAAUUAAAAUCCAAGAUGGCGGCCUCUACAAAAUGGCGGAUAACUUAGGUUUUAUCAAUCCCAUCAACAUGGGUAUCAAAUGAAAGGUCUCAACAAGUAGAAUACAAUUUACUAUGCAAAAUUGAAAUCUAG